CGGAGUGGCGGACGGGUGAGUAAUGUCUGGGAAACUGCCCGAUGGAGGGGGAUAACUACUGGAAACGGUAGCUAAUACCGCAUAACGUCGCAAGACCAAAGAGGGGGACCUUCGGGCCUCUUGCCAUCGGAUGUGCCCAGAUGGGAUUAGCUAGUAGGUGGGGUAACGGCUCACCUAGGCGACGAUCCCUAGCUGGUCUGAGAGGAUGACCAGCCACACUGGAACUGAGACACGGUCCAG
rnacentral:rRNA from 1 species